AACCUUGCUCCCAGCUGUGUAAACGAGAAAAAUCAACCCUUGAGGAUUACGUCAUCCGAUAAUUUACCUCGACGAGACAGCGCCCUCUGAUUUUAUGAUGUCAUUAUCGUUAUCAGAUAGUAAUUCUAAAUUUUAUUAAAUAUUGGCAUGUCAUUAUACAUAGCUGAGAGGAAACUUGCUAAUGAAGCAUUAACUGAUGAAAAACAACUAACAAUUAAAAUAUAACAAUAGAGGCGCUCUGAUAUUCUACAGUUAAGAACAAUUCUCCAGCACCAUUUUCCGAGAGAAGGUUCAAGAACACUAAAGGAGAAAUUAUCCUUAAGAAUGUAUGUGACCAGUCACCACAUUUCAAAGCUAUAUACUUGUGGUGUAUAAUUAUACCAUGUGUUUUAGUCUUCUUGUGGUAUAAUCAUUUAUAUUCUGAAUUUAUUCUAUGCCCUGAAUAUGUGCAGGUUUCACAUAACACGUGAUUAAGAAAACAGUUUAAGUUGAUCUUGUUUCUAAUUGCUUUUGUUUCUUUGUUGUUCUCGAAUUGGGUAAUACCUGUUACCACCCGUUGAAAACAUACCUUAAUGCACUAUGUGUCUUUCAGCUGUUACAGAGGCAAUAACUAAAGAUUACGAACACGUUUAUGUGUAAUUAGAAUGACCAGUCACGUAGUAAUACAUGUCUCUCUCUAGGUAAAUAUGAAAUUUCUUCCUAUUAAAGAAACCUUGAAUUUGACAGUCUGGUAGAUGAUCUCAAGCUGACAACACCUAGUAGAAACGAUGGUCUGACAUAAGUAAAUCGCAGUUACACAUAAUUUUAGUUUCACGUAUUAAUAAAAACUGUUCAUUGUAUU